ACCGCUGUAGCCUAGUUAGUAGAGGCGUCACCAGUGCUGAUGGCGAAGGUCGCUGGUUCAAAUCCUGCCUGCGGUG